rnacentral:rRNA from 1 species
UACGUAGGGAGCGAGCGUUGUCCGAAGUUACUGGGCGUAAAGCGCGCGUAGGCGGGCUGUUAAGUGAGAGGUGAAAGGCUGGGGCUCAACCCCAUGCAGUGCCUCUCAUACUGGCGGUCUUGAGUGCGGCAGGGAGAAGUGGAAUGGCUGGUGUAGCGGUGAAAUGCGUAGAUAUCAGUCGGAACACCGGUGGCGAAGGCGGCUUCUUGGGCCUGGACUGACGCUGAGACGCGAAAGCGUGGGGAGCGAACAGG